rnacentral:rRNA from 1 species
UAGGGAAUCUUCGGCAAUGGACGGAAGUCUGACCGAGCAACGCCGCGUGAGUGAAGAAGGUUUUCGGAUCGUAAAGCUCUGUUGUUAGAGAAGAACGUUGGUAGGAGUGGAAAAUCUACCAAGUGACGGUAACUAACCAGAAAGGGACGGCUAACUACGUGCCAGCAGCCGCGGUAAUACGUAGGUCCCGAGCGUUGUCCGGAUUUAUUGGGCGUAAAGCGAGCGCAGGCGGUUCUUUAAGUCUGAAGUUAAAGGCAGUGGCUUAACCAUUGUACGCUUUGGAAACUGGAGGACUUGAGUGCAGAAGGGGAGGGUGGAAUUCCAUGUGUAACGGUGAAAUGCGUAGAUAUAUGGAGGAACACCGGUGGCGAAAGCGGCUCUCUGGUCUGUAACUGACGCUGAGGCUCGAAAGCGUGGGGAGCAAACAGG